rnacentral:lncRNA from 1 species
AUGGGGUCUUCUGUGAGCCGGUCUGCAAGGGAGUGGUGGGGAGGGAGCAGCUUGGCGGCGGCGGCGGGUGCAGACUCGGGUAGAGGCGCCCAGCGCGUGCACGCGGGAGAGGCAGGACGGCUCCCGGUGCAAGGCCCUCCCACCUCCGUGCCUCGGUUUCCCCAGGGAGGCAAGGACACGGUUCGGCGCGUGGGAGCGCAAGAAGCCCUUUCUUGGGUCUCAUUGUCCCCGGGAGGGUGUGGGAGGCUGCACCGGGCACAUUCAUCUUGUCGCGGCUCACAGGCAGCGUCUGCCCAGGCUCUGUCCUCACCCCAUCCGGCUCCCCUGCCGCCGCCCAGCGCCUCUCGCACCCCGAGCCCCGGAGGCGUCCAAGCCGUCCCAAGCCUGCGGUGGGAGCCCGCCCCGCCCGCGCGCCGCCUCGCCCCCGCCCUUCCUCCUCCUCCACCCCGCCCUUCCUCCUCCUCCUCCUCCCCGCCGCUCCGGGAGUCGGCUCUCCGGCCGUGUGCGCAAGCGUGUCCGGCCCCUUCCCCGCCCCCAGCCCGGGCCCGGGCCCGGGCCCGGGCCCCCGCCUCCCCUGCAGGCGGAUUUGCCCGCUCCCUGGCCGGCUCCGCGCCUGGGACAGGGACCGGGCGGAGCGGAGCCGUUGCGCCAAGUGUGGCGCCGCGGGGUCGGUGCGCCCUACACGGAUCAGAACUGUGCCGCACGAACUGCCCUCACCUCCCCGCUCCCACCCCCGGGAGUGAGUACGCCGGCAACCGGGCGCCGGGGCCCCCGAGGGAGGGCGGGGAGCGCCCAGGGGUCCCGGGCCGUCCGGCCGCAUCCUUGCGCCGCCGCUCGGGGCGGUGUCGGGCCCUGCACGUGGGCGCAGCACGGCUCGGGGUCGGGUGGGGCGGCCCCGGCCCCGGGGAGCUGCUUCUUGGGGUCGCUUUCCCCUGGACCAGGUUUUCGCGGGAAGCCGGAUUCUGUUCGCUCCCUUUGCAGUGCGCGAACAGGACUGUCCUCUCCGGAAAGUUUCUGUCCCCCACCGUGCGCCCGGGCUGGAGAGGCGUCCUCCGCCGCCGCCGGCAUCCUCUGAGCCCGGGUCGCUGA